UACGUAGGUGGCAAGCGAUACUCGGAAUCACUAGGCGUAAAGCGCAGGUAGGAGGUUGGAUAAGUCUCUUGUGAAAGCUCCCGGCUUAACUGGGAGAGGUCAAGGGAAACUAUCCGGCUAGAGUCCGGGAGAGGAGAGUGGAAUUCCUGGUGUAGCGGUGAAAUGCGCAGAUAUCAGGAAGAACACCCGUGGCGAAAGCGGCUCUCUGGAACGGUACUGACGCUGAGACGCGAAAGCGUGGGGAGCGAACAGG
rnacentral:rRNA from 1 species